CCUGCAUCCUCACAAAUCACUUAUUUUGAUAGCAGGGAUCUUACUGUAUUUUAACCUCCCACACCAGAUGCAUGCACCUCACGGGCGAUUGAGGUUUUUGUCUUAUGUGAGAGUGUCAACGACGUCUGCAUCUACGAAAGACAAAUCAGUACAGAUCGACUCCGUGCGUGCAUCUGCUGGGUCGUUUCUUGCUUGCAUGAAUCCUCCUUUGUUGGUCAUCAAAGUCCCAUCGCAUGUCUGAGUCUUUAUGGGUCGAUUUUUGAGCUCCUGACGGGUUAUUGGGGCUUUGUUGAGUUUUCUCGGCUGUCUUGGGGUCUUCUCUCUUUGUAAAAAUAUACGAUCUUCUAAGCUCGCUGCCUUGCUCUUCACUCCUCGGUGAUAUCUGCUAUCUUAUAAGCUUGGUUCUUGGUGGCCAAUUGUUGGUGUUCUUUUGUUCUUUGCCUUACAACUUUCCUUUGUGCUUCAGCCUGCAAUUGCCUCCAUAAUCAGGGAACAGCUAUAUGACUUAAUUUACCAUAUUUGUCUCUUCUUCAUACUCCAGAUUGCAAUUCAGAGUGUUACCUUGGUGCUGAACAUUUCCCACCUACGUAUUUCUCAGCAGCUUUGUUUUGUUGGUGUCAGUUAUAAUUUGCUUCAAGGUAGAGGAAUCAAAAGGCGUAUGUUUUGGUUUGUAUCGUGCUCUGCUUUUAUUUUAUCCAGGAUAUGGAUGCUACUUAUCUGAUGACAGAUCGAAUGCCCUUCCAAGCAGUUCUAGCAGACAGGUUAGAUUGUUCGGUGUGAUGUUUCAAAAAAAAAAAAAUCACAGCACGCAUGUUCUGCAUUUCGUAGUAAAUGUUAUGAUAUAAGAAGUUAAGAACUGGUUGAGUGAUGUGGAUUAUGGGCUUGAGAGAAGGUUGACAUUGUAACAUAUGAAACUCAUCUCCCCAUAAGAGGUAAGUACAAUUUAGUGAAGGUUUAUUCAACAGUCAUAUAAGUAGCAUAUUUAAUUUUUAGAAGUAGUGAACUGUUUCUAAACUGAAUUUUCACAAUUGUCUGGUUUAUUGACUUGCGGUUUC